CCUACGGGUGGCAGCAGUGAGGAAUAUUGGUCAAUGGGAGAGAUCCUGAACCAGCCAAGCCGCGUGAGGGAAGACGGCCCUAUGGGUUGUAAACCUCUUUUGUACGAGGGUAAACGCAGAUACGCGUAUCUGUCUGAAAGUAUCGUACGAAUAAGGAUCGGCUAACUCCGUGCCAGCAGCCGCGGUCAUACGUAGGAUCCGAGCAUUAUCCGGAGUGACUGGGUGUAAAGAGUUGCGUAGGUGGCAUAAUAAGUCGCUAGUGAAAUCUGGUGGCUCAACCAUUCAGACUAUUAGCUAAACUGUUAAGCUCGAGACCGUUAGGGGUAAGUGGAAUUUCUAGUGUAGGAGUGAAAUCCGUAGAUAUUAGAAGGAACACCAAUAGCGUAGGCAGGUUACUGGGACGGUUCUGACACUAAGGCACGAAAGCGUAGGGAGCAAACGGGAUUAGAUACCCCUGUAGUC
rnacentral:rRNA from 1 species